rnacentral:rRNA from 1 species
AUUGAACGCUGGCGGCAGGCCUAACACAUGCAAGUCGAACGAGUGGCGGACGGGUGAGUAAUGUCUGGGAAACUGCCUGAUGGAGGGGGAUAUCUACUGGAAACGUUAGCUAAUACCGCAUACCAUCAUAUUUUCCCAGAUGGGCUUAGGUUGUUGGUGGGGUAACGGCUCACCAAGGCGACGAUCCCUAGCUGGUCUGAGAGGAUGACCAGCCACACGUGAACUGAGACACGGUCCAGACUCCUACGGGAGGAAGCAUUGGGGAAUAUUGCACAAUGGGCGCAAGCCUGAUGCAGCCAUGCCGCGUGUAUGAAGAAGGCCGUCGGGUUGUAAAGUACUUUCAGCGGGGAGGCGUUACCCGCAGAAGAAGCACCGGCUAACUCCGUGCCAGCAGCCGCGGUAAUAC